CGGGUGUAGCUCAGUGGUAGAGCGUCACGUUGCCAACGUGAAUGUCGGCGGUUCGAAUCCGCUCACC
rnacentral:tRNA from 1 species